rnacentral:rRNA from 1 species
CCAAUAGCGUAUAUUAAAGUUGUUGCAGUUAAAAAGCUCGUAGUUGAAUUUCGGGAUCAGUACGCUGGUCGUGCCUCGGUAUGUACUGGUGUUAUUGGUUCUCACCUUCUAAUGAACCAUAAUGUCAUUUAUUUGAUGUUAUGGGGAAUUAGGACUGUUACCUUGAAAAAAUUAGAGUGUUUAAAGCAGGCUCACGCUUGAAUACAUUAGCAUGGAAUAAUGAAAUAGGACAUCGCAUUCUAUUUUGUUGGUUUCUAGGAUCGAUGUAAUGAUUAAUAGGGAUAGUUGGGGGCAUUAGUAUUCAAUUGUCAGAGGUGAAAUUCUUGGAUUUAUUGAAGACUAACUACUGCGAAAGCAUUUGCCAAGGAUGUUUUCAUUAAUCAAGAACGAAAGUUAGGGGAUCGAAGACGAUCAGAUACCGUCGUAGUCUUAACCAUAAACUAUGCCGACUAGGGAUCGGAUGAUGUUGAUUUUUUAAUGACUCAUUCGGCACCUUACG